GGGGGCGACCUGGCUUCGACGAGGGCUGCUAAACCUAAAGUGCAUGUCGAGUAGACAACGAAGCUCGUAAAACCCAAUGUUGUAACUUUAAUAGCUGGAAACAAGAAACUAGCUGCUAAUGAUUCUAACUUUGCACCUGUGGCUGUUGCUGCAUAACAAAGUCUGAAUCCGCCGUCUUAAAAACACGGCAUAGCCUACUCACCCGGUUUGCUUAUAGGCGGGGAUUCGAGUAGUCAUAGCAUAUAAGCUCGCUAGCCUCUAUGGCCCAUAGGGAUCUAGUCAAAACUCAGGGCUCGCGUUGGACUUAUUCCUGCCAAUCGGGUAAUCCUUCGUUAAAUAAUAGAUUGGGCUAAACAUGUAGAGCUGAGGGCAGAUCACCAGCGGACGCGGGUUCGAUUCCCGCCGCCUCCACCA
rnacentral:tmRNA from 2 species